rnacentral:rRNA from 1 species
GACGAACGCUGGCGGCGUGCCUAACACAUGCAAGUAGAACGCUGAAGGCGGAGCUUGCUUCUCUGGUCGAGUUGCGAACGGGUGAGUAACGCGUAGGUAACCUGCCUGGUAGCGUGGGAUAACUAUUGGAAACGAUAGCUAAUACCGCAUAAGAGUAGCUGCUGCAUGACAUUUGCUUAAAAGGUGCAAUUGCUUCACUAGCAGAUGGAGCUGCGCUGGAUUAGGUAGUUGGUGAGGUAUAGGCUCACCAAGGCGACGAUCCAUAGCCGAACGGCGAGGGGGGGCAGCCACACUGAGAGGGAGACACGCCCCAGAGUGAUUCAGGAAGCGGCAGUAGGGAUACGGGAGGAAUGGGCGGAGGUCAGACCAAGAUAGGCCGCGUGAGUGAGGAAGAUCGUCGGGUCGUGGAGCUCUGUUGUAGGGGAAGAACGAGUGUGAGAGUGUAAAGUUGACUCUGUGACGGUAACUGACCAGGAAGGAACGGCUAACUACGUG